CAGGCAUAGGCAAACUCAGCCCUCCAGAUGUUUUGAGACUAUUACUCCCAUCAUCCUUGACCACUGGGAUGAUGGGAGUUGUAGCCCCAAAACAUCUGGAGGGCUGAGUUUGCCUAUGCCUG